UAAUACGUAGGUGGCGAGCGUUGUCCGGAAUUACUGGGUGUAAAGGGCGUGUANGCGGGAAUGCAAGUCGGAUGUGAAAUACCGUGGCUUAACCACGGGGCUGCAUCUGAAACUGUGUUUCUUGAGUGUCGGAGAGGAAAGUGGAAUUCCCAGUGUAGCGGUGAAAUGCGUAGAUAUUGGGAGGAACACCACUGGCGAAGGCGACUUUCUGGACGAUAACUGACGCUGAGGCGCGAAAGCGUGGGGAGCAAACAGGAUUAGAUACCCUGGUAGUCCACGCUGUAAACGAUGGAUACUANGUGUGGGAGGUAUCGACCCCUUCCGUGCCGGAGUUAACACAAUAAGUAUCCCACCUGGGGAGUACGGCCGCNAGGUUGAAACUCAAAGGAAUUGACGGGGGCCCGCACAAACAAGUGGAGUAUGUGGUUUAAUUCGAAGCNNCCCGAAGAACCUUACCACGGCUUGACAUGCNGUGAAUAUGGCANAGAUGUUAUAGUCCUUCCGGACCCUUGCAGG
rnacentral:rRNA from 1 species